rnacentral:rRNA from 1 species
AGUGAACGCUGGCGGUAGGCCUAACACAUGCAAGUCGAACGGCAGCACAGUAAGAGCUUGCUCUUACGGGUGGCGAGUGGCGGACGGGUGAGGAAUACAUCGGAAUCUACUUUUUCGUGGGGGAUAACGUAGGGAAACUUACGAUAAUACCGCAUACGACCUACGGGUGAAAGCAGGGGAUCUUCGGACCUUGCGCGAUUGAAUGAGACGAUGUCGGAUUAGCUAGUUGGCGGGGUAAAGGCCCACCAAGGCGACGAUCCGUAGCUGGUCUGAGAGGAUGAUCAGCCACACUGGAACUGAGACACGGUCCAGACUCCUACGGGAGGCAGCAGUGGGGAAUAUUGGACAAUGGGCGCAAGCCUGAUCCAGCCAUACCGCGUGGGUGAAGAAGGCCUUCGGGUUGUAAAGCCCUUUUGUUGGGAAAGAAAAGCAGCAGGUUAAUACCCCGCUGUUCUGACGGUACCCAAAGAAUAAGCACCGGCUAACUUCGUG